CCUACGGGUGGCAGCAGUGAGGAAUAUUGGUCAAUGGACGAGAGUCUGAACCAGCCAAGUAGCGUGAAGGAUGACUGCCCUAUGGGUUGUAAACUUCUUUUAUAUGGGAAUAAAAUGUUCCACGUGUGGGAUUUUGUAUGUACCAUAUGAAUAAGGAUCGGCUAACUCCGUCCCAGCAGCCGCGGUAAUACGGAGGAUCCGAGCGUUAUCCGGAUUUAUUGGGUUUAAAGGGAGCGUAGGUGGGUUGUUAAGUCAGUUGUGAAAGUUUGCGGCUCAACCGUAAAAUUGCAGUUGAAACUGGCAGUCUUGAGUACAGUAGAGGUGAGCGGAAUUCGAGGUGUAGCGGUGAAAUGCUUAGAUAUCACGAAGAACUCCGAUUGCGAAGGCAGUUCACUGGACUGCAACUGACACUGAGGCUCGAAAGUGUGGGUAUCAAACAGGAUUAGAUACCCCUGUAGUC
rnacentral:rRNA from 1 species